rnacentral:rRNA from 1 species
CAGCCGCCGCGGUAAUACCGGCGGCCCGAGUGGCGGUCACUAUUAUUGGGCUUAAAGCGUCCGUAGCCGGGUUGGGAAGUCCUCCGGGAAAUCUGGCCGCUUAACGGUCCGAAUGCCGGAGGAUACUCCCAGCCUAGGGAGCGGGAGAGGCCGAGGGUAUUCCCGGGGUAGGGGGGAAAUCCUAUAAUCCCGGGAGGACCACCUGUGGGGAAGGCGCUCGGCUGGAACGCGUCCGACGGUGAGGGACGAAGGCCAGGGGAGCAAACCGGAUUAGAUACCCGGGUAGUCCUGGCUGUAAACGAUGCGGACUUUGUGUCGGACAAGCUAUGAGCUUGUCCGGUGCCGGAGGGAAACCGUUAAGUCCGCCGCCUGGGGAGUACGGCCGCAAGGCUGAAACUUAAAGGAAUUGGCGGG